rnacentral:rRNA from 1 species
GACGAACCGAGCGAACGUUGUUCGGAAUCACUGGGCUUAAAGGGCGCGUAGGCGGGCGGCCGCGUCCGGGGUGAAAUCCCACGGCUCAACCGUGGAACGGCCUCGGAUACGGGCCGCCUCGAGGGGGGUAGGGGCAUGCGGAACUGUGAGUGGAGCGGUGAAAUGCGUUGAUAUUCACAGGAACUCCGGUGGCGAAGGCGGCGUGCUGGACCCCUUCUGACGCUGAGGCGCGAAAGCCAGGGGAGCAAACGGG